UUCACAUGUAGCUGUUCUUUUUAGACAUCUCAGUGUUGGAAUCUAGAUUCUGAUGAUAGCAUCUGCUGUAAAAAGCCAAGAGCUCCAGGGACCUACCUGUUUCCAAUGUCUCCUUCCCUCCAUCUCAGAAACGAGGCUUACAGAAGCACCAAACUACUCUUCCGUUGGAGUUUUCCGUGGCUUCUCCUGUCCUCAUGCUUGCGGCAGGUACUUUACCAGAUGGCCCCGGGUGGUCUGGGCACUUGGAUGCUGGCAGAACACUGCUCUUGGCAGAGCUCUUAGCAGCCUGCCAGGUGGAAAGAGAAGCUGUGCCACAACUGGAAAGUUUGAAAGAUCUUCAUUGCCUCACUCCUCAUGCAAUGACUUCAUGGCACUGUUGCUAACCUUUACACAGAAGGAAGUGCAAAGAAGCCCAGAGAAAAUUCUUCAUGGUGAAACAGUUACUCAAAACAGAGACCAGUGUGGGAGAACGGUCUGUGGCGCCUGUCUUUGCUGCUAGCGGUGAUGUAUGUGUGUGUUUUGGGAACCUUGAAUAUCUAGUUGAGUCUGUACUUUUUGUGGCUUGUCUGGGCUCAAAAGCACCACCUUGCGAAGAGCUAUUUGAUUGGCUAAAAAUGGACUCUGUUCCUUCAUUCUGAGACACUAUAAACGGAGAUAGCGCAGGCCUUUGAAAAUGCUUUAUAAUAUUGUGGAGAGCGAAACCAUUAAUAACGUCUUCGGAGAUCUGAAAAACAUCCACGGUGAGACCUUGCUAGAGGGAGCUUUGGUGUUUGCUGUGAAAUAGUUUUCAUCGAAGCAUUUUCCCUCCUGACCACAGAGCUGAUUAUUGUAUGUUUCCUUUUUGACACAUGUUUUUCCUGGUAGUCAAGUUCCCUUUUCCUUUAAAACAGAAAAAAACAUAACAAAAUCUAGCUCCCGUGAUUGGUAGAUUCCCUCUGCUAACUCACCGUCCUUCAGUUAGGAGAUUCUGGAAAUCCCCCUGGCAUCACUUUUUCUUUUGACCAAAUAUGUCUCUAGUUGUCUGUCUACAGAAUUUCUUUCCUAAGAGCGGUCUGGCUCUUUCUGACUGCAGCACACACUGAAGCUCAUAGUUUGACCUAAUAGCACAGUCCAAACUUCAUAAUGAACUUUGGAGUGGGACAGUGGUCACAGGUGGCCCCAAAUAAGAUUACUUAACGCCUGUUUAAUAGGGGAAGAAGGCUGCGGCAAGCUCCGAUUUCUUCUCUGGCAUGUGGGUGGUGUGGGAUGAAUCAGAAGCAUGCUAGCUUUACCAAGGAGCUCUAUCUAACCUUUUCCUGGUUCCUCUGGGGUUAUUAACAGGGUGACUUUGAGAUAUCGGUCCCCUUAAACAGGCAACUAUUGCUUGGCGUCCCUUUGAAGUGCUGUAUAAAGUGAUAAUACUGCCCUUCACUGCUUUUGGCUCCUUCCCAUGGUAUCUCUUUCCUGCUGUUAACCUUGGUACUAAAGUCGGGUCCUAGUCCUUCUGAAGAACAAGGCAGUCUGAUGGUGACUAAGAAAUCCUGAUAAAGUUUCUAUGACAUACUGUACAGGGCAUUGAUAGUCUAGCCAGGGGCUUCUGGAAAUGUAAGCGUAAGGGUUAAAGGUUAAUUUUCUUUUCCUGUAUACUUACCUGUUUUAAGUAUAUACUACAUGUUCUGAACCAUAUUUUAGGUAAGCCAACCUGUUCUGGGUUUUAACUUGUAGUUCUUUGGGAUGAUAGCAAAAUACCUCCCUUCCUUUCUUAAUGCUCCCUCCUUUUUUUUCCUCCUCAAAUGCUUUACCUUAAUCUGUCAAUCAGCCCCGUAUGACAGUUCAUGAUCCACAUAGACAGAUAGACACACAGACACAUAGACUUUCUUAUGUCUAGACUUCCUGGUCCUUUCCGUGGCUAACCAUAAAUCCCAGCAUUUUGGCCUUAGGAACUUGAUGACCUAAUUAGUCUUGAUGACACAGAUUGGUAAUCUCACUUGGGGUGGUGAAUCAGAAGAAAUUUAGUGAGAUCUCUGUCAACAUUUGAAAAAUCAAGAGAGAGCUGAAAAUAUAGCUCUGUUAUCAGUCACCCAUUUUGAAGUGUAUUCCAUAAAGAAUAAUGACUGCUUUGUUCUCAGAAGGAUUGUACCAAACCCUCCCAAUUCUAUCCAAGUAGGAAACCAGGUUUUCUUGAUUUACAACGUCUUGUCAACAAUCUUUGUGCAUACAUAUGUUUUUUCGGUUGUCACCGUUGUACCUUCUGUAUUUGCGUUUUCUCUAAGACCUAGAGCUAUGCAAAUCAAUGGCCUUUGUGACAUUUCUUCGAUUUCCCUCUUUCUAGUUGGUGGCUUCUGAUCAGAGAGAAUUAAUACCAAUAUUAUUUUUUUUGGUAUCAAUAUAUUCCCCCUGUUUCGUCUAGAUUUUGUAGUUUUGUGUACUUCCUUAAGUUUUUGUUGGCUAUUUUAAAUGGGAAACUCUAAACCUCCUUGCUUCUGGUUGAAAAACAGCUCUAGGAACUGAGUAAGUGGUCCCAAAUGUCCUUGUAGAAACAGUUCUCUUAGGUACCACCCAGUCCUGGUCCUCUGAAACACUGAGGUUUUGAAAUGAACCUUCUCUUGGGGGCAGUAGAAUGCAUGGAUUAUAAACCCAAGUUAAGAUUUUUAUUUUAGAAACUCUGUGCACGUUGAGGAGUGUGACUUUCUGCUUGUGUACUAGUGUAUGGAGAGAAAAUCUAAACCCCAUCCUUUGUCUUUCUUUCUAGACUUAGGCAUUAGUAUUUUUUUUUUUUUUUUGGUCAAGUUAGGAAUUCUUCUCUUCAAGUGAAUUCUCCUUUGACUGUAUGAUUUCCAGCAGUUCUAGGAAGUUCACACCUAUUUUAAUCAGGAAGAAACAAAAAAAAUCAUUGCUUAUCUUCAAAUACCUUGAGGAUUUUUUAAAUACAGGCUUUUAACUAGACUUUUCUUCCACCAAAAAUGUUCUGUUUUCCAUUUUUAAACAUAUCCUAUAUUGUACACCAUAAAGGCCUCUACAUGUCUCUUUAAGAAGAAAUUUAAGGUAAAAGUGAAACCUCGAAGACCAUGCCAAAGCAGGGACAAGGUGAAAAUAUGAGCUGCUUUCUCUGAAUUACUCAUUGACCUAUGAAAAUGUUUUCCAGUGUCUGGCCCUUCCUUGAGCCUCAAGCUUGCAACAGAAGUUGCCUUCAGGCUUUAGCAGCUGCUGAAAUGAUAAAGGAUUUUAUCUCAGGCUCCAGUCCUUUGGCAUCUGUAAGGGAGCACAUUAAAUAAAGAAUUUUAUGUCGGGAAAACCAGGCUAAUAUCAGUUCUUAAGGUAUAAAUUCUUCUCGUCAUAUUUUUAGCUAAAUUGAUCUUACCAACGAAACUAAAAUUAAGAAUCAACCCCACCUUAUUAAAGAAAGCCACAGUUGUGAAAUCUGGUCUGUUUUUUUUUUUUUGCUAUUAUCAAUUACCAUUCUCUUAAGUUUAACUAUUUCAUUCUCAAGAAUAAGAACCCUAAGGUUAUAAAUGUGUAAGCACACACAUGAUAAAUGCACAACACAUACCUAUAGUUUCCAUCCCAUAGGUUGCAAAGGCACAUGAACUUAUCAUCAUCCUCAUUAAAGACCGUUGAGUGUCUACUGUGCAUAUUAUGAUAAGCAAUCAGAUUGGUGGGGAAGACAAAGAAUUAUAGAAAUGUAAAAGUUCAACAGACUUCAGUUGAACUCUUAUGUAGUUAAACAGUUCAAACAGAAAGAGGAAAAUAGCGAUUCAGAGAAGGCCUCCAGGGCAUCAAGUACCAGGAGGAGACUUGUCAUGCUUCUGGUAUUCACAGCACACCUGUGGCGGGAUGCAGUGAUGGCAUCUCAGGAAAAAGCUAAUCAGAGCUUCUCUGCCAUAGAGUGAUUUAAGGGUACAGCAACAGCGGUAGAAAAAAGUGCUGAGGUAGCAGGGGGAGGUCAAACCAGGUGGGUAGAUAGGAGAUGAAUGCCCGAGGUGACCUCCUCUUUCCAGAGAAGCAAGAGAGAGAAAGAGGAAAUGGAAAACGCAAAUGGAGGAGAAGUACCCAUAGAAGCUCCAUAGGAGUUUUUCCUUCGUUAUGACUUUGGUAACCUAAGCAAUUCAUCUAUUGCUCUGAGCAUCAGGUUUUUACAAUUCAUAAAAUGGGGAGGGGGUGAUUUACUCUUUAAAAUAGGGACAACUAGAAUAAAAUUUUAGAAGAUGAAUCAAUUCAUUUAUGAGGCAUAAACUUUAUGGAGUGCUUUCCCACUCCAAAAUAAAGCUAUCAACAUGCCAUUAUUUCCCGAUGCUGUCAGUUCGAAUCCUAAUGAGAAGGAAGCCUGAGCAAAAGCUGUAAUGUGAUAAGACACAGUGAAGUGGAACGCACAGAACAAGGUAAGAGAAACCACAGCAGGUCUCGGGUGCUUAAGGAGAUGGAUGAAGGCUUUAUGAAUGAAGCAAGAGAGCCUGAAGUUUAAAUUUAUGUUUAUAUAACUUCCAAAUGUCCUUAUGGUUUAGUGAGCCUCUCAGACUGCUGCUUAUGAGCUACAUAAUAUCAUGCAUUUGGAGUUGUACAAGGAUUUGAAUGUGCUAUGUAUCAGUGAUAAUGCCCCUUGAAAGCUCUGUUAAAUAUCCUUGAUUUCCUUAUGGUAAAAUUAUAAUACAAUGAUGGAGUCUUGAAGGAAAUAGACAGCAGUGGUUCCUGCAGUAGUACAAGGAUGUAGGGGACACUCACAUCAGAUGGCAGUCUUUAGAGAUGGAGGAGUCAUUUGAAAACACACCAGGGAGGAAGUGUGGGAGGAAAGGAAUCUGACCAGAGAGACUCAGAUGAGGUGUGGCUGCAAGUCAAUUCUGUGAGAACCUAAAAACUGUACCUGGUGUGCACUCAAGUUCUGUCCUCUCAUUGUAGGGAAGUGCGACCGGGCUUGUGACCCUGGGAAUGUCAUGACCAUAUCAUCGCUUUUCACCUUUAGUAUUUACUCUGCUCCUCAUCCUUACUCUCAGGCACACAUAUUUUGAAACUGGACACAUUUUUAUUCUACUGUAAAUGUCAGCAACCCAGUCUAGGAGUGUGACUUUCCCUAAAACUGCCUUUAAAAACUCAGAGAUUUGGAAUUGCAAGAACGGAUGCAAAUAUGAAACAAGGCUAUGUUCCCUAAUGAGUAGGAAAUGCUAGUGAAAGCAUCAUUGACGUGGGAUUGUGUGCUAACCCAACUGGGGAAAGCAGUCCUGUUCUAGGUUGGGUUGAUGCUAUAUCCCCUCCCAGUGGGCGACAUUAGAGCCCGAUUUCAGGAAGUUCCUUGUUAUGCUAAUAACUUCCUUGGUUUUUCUUCUAGACAGUUAAUUAUAGAUACCAGAAUAUGACCUAUUCUUGUCAAGAUAAAAUAGGAAAUGAAAUACAAUGCCUCAAUGUGAUCCUGUUCAGAAAAAUGUUAGUGCAUAAAUAUCCUAUUUCCUUGUCCUUUGUUGGGAAAACUCAAAAUUGCAUUGUGUAUGGCCUCUCCGGUGGUCUUCAGAAAAUAUUGAGUCCCAGUUGUUUGCAGAGUAGGGUGGCCAACUUUCCUCAUAUCUUUGGAGCUCUCUCAGUUGUAGCAUUAAAAUUCUGUAUUUUGGGAACUCCUUGAGCUUCACUCAAGCCCGGAAGGCGCCCACUCUUUAAGGAGAGGUAGUGGGCAGCUCAAGGCGCUCCUUUUUGAUGUUCUUUCCUCUGUACUCACGUCCCUGCCUCGUUUACAGUGAUUCCUGGAGUUACCUUCUGAACAAACUGCUGCAUUCUCGCUUUUGUUUAAGAACCUGUUUUAAAAAGGACGUAAGAGAAGCAGUUCACGGUGUCUGCUUGUGAGAAACAGGAAAACGUGCAGCCUCAUGCUUUGCAUAGCAGCAACCCAAGAUUGCCCAGAUCUUUGCAUAUUAGGUGAAGAGGCUGUAAGUGAGGGUAGUUGAGCUGAGAAUCCCUCUUCUUAAGGCUCUCUCCUGCAGUCAUGCUCACUGCUACACAGAGACUGUGUAAAGCGAGGAUUUUCCGUGGGAUCCUUUAUAAUAAAUCCUGGAGCUAUCUCUGCCUGUCGCUGACAAGAAUGUCUUCAAGUCGGGAAGAGCGUAAGUCAUUUAUAGUAUAAGCAUUCUACGAAGCAGUAUAAAGUUUCUAUAAAAGCAUGAGACUAAUCUACACUUGCUGACAGAGGAAAAUGUUACGAGGUAGCAGAAAGGUAAAUACAGAUUAAAAGUCAUGCUUAUGAUGUUCUGUAUCUAUUCCCUUCCUCUUCCUGGAACAUAUACAUAAACACAAAAACAGUAUUUAGGAAGAGGAGGGGAUAUAAAAGGUUAUAAAGGGAAUUGCCUCGUUAUUAUUAUUAUUUCAUACUUAAAAUUACCUUUAAAGUAACAAUAUACUCGGAAGUGAAUAUUUGAUGCAUUGUUCAAUCUUUUCAAUUUUUCUGCUCUCAGUAUUGGCAGCAUGGAAACUGUUGUGAUUUUAAUUUCAUUUUCUGUUCCACCUCCCACGCACCCAUAUAAAGGUGUGUUGUGACCAAAUAUAAGCAACUAAAUUAUGUAAAACAUAAUUAACCAGAGAUUUUAUGUGGGAACCAAUUUUUAAAAAUACAUGAUCACCUUUCCCUUUAAGAUGAGAAAGACCACACGGACAGAAAAUCUAUUUCAAAUAUUCAUCAGUUUUCCUAAAACCACAAUUACAAGGGCAAACCGGAAAUUAAAACAAGCUCUCUAUGUGUACCUGAGCCUCUCGUAUUUUAAAAUUGUAUUUGUUCAGGAAAUUAAAUGAUGUUGAAUGAAAAUGAUAAUUUCUCAAGUGUUUGGGAAAGGACAUGGCAUUGGAUUAGAAGACAAUGAAAGAGAUGCUACUAACAAGAGGACUGAAUAGAUUUUCAAAGAAUGCAGAAAAAAAAAACCACCCUAAUAAGCAGGAAGAGCCAAGCCAUUAUUGCUUAUGCCGUUUGUCUUCUGCUUUGUUUUGUCUUCUCCAAAGAAGUCUAAGGAUGUGAGCGGGCUGGGAAGACUUUCUGCCCUUUCAUUGUAGUGAUUCCAGCAAUGCGGUGAAAAACAUGUGCUUGGAAAGAAACCUGCCUCCUUCUUAGCUGCAUGCUGAUGAGCGAAGUGCACCAAGCUUUGCUCGCUGAAGACUAAACAUGGUUAUAGCAACUACAGUCUGCUCCGAGGAAAUGUUCCUUUGUGUCAUAUGGACCUCAGAUUGGUUUUCUUCCAGGUGAUGUUGGAGAUGAGAUUCCGUCAUGGAGGCUUUGAUAGAGACAAACAAUGCCGAGCUGAGAAGAUGAAUGACUGAGAGCUGACGAUGGUGGAGGCCUAACUCUUGUCUGCGGGAAUGUUGGUAGUGUAGGAGACAGAGGGUGCGGGGAGAAUUCCGGAAGACCAUUUGGCAAAUGUGACUGAACGCCAAAUAAGGUCAGCUCCACUGCUCUUCAUCUUCUGAAGCUAAACAGGACAGCCUUUCUUGUCCUGCUUGCGCAUUAGAGUUCAGGAGGAACCAAACUGAACCAAACCAAAAUGACCUUCCAGUACAUGGCCUCCACACUAGAGACUUAAAUCAUCUGGAUACGGGCCAAGGAAGUCAGUAUUUUCAACUCUUCCUAGAACUGGAAAUGAUCUGCCUGUCGGUGACAUCAGCAGCACCCUCCUCCAGGACUGUGAGUGCCAGGAAAGUGCUGGCUGCCCAGGCUGAGCCUCUCUGCAAAGUCAGAUGGCAUUCCAAAGCUCUCACUUCCAGAUUGACUCAGUCCUACGCAAUGGCGCUCCAUCACAGGGCAGAUCCUUGGUUCUGAAGCAGGCAGCUGAAGUCACAAAUCCUGAUCAAAUUCCAUUUUCCUUCACACGUAAAAAUAGCCUGAGGCCUGGGAUUGUUGUCGUUAUUUUUUCUUACACUUUUAACAGUGGAAUAUAAUUUCUCCAAGUUUCUUUUGGGAAAAGACACCUACCCCCAUCACAGCACCCAGUACUAAACUUUAAUGUUAAGACCGUGUGGAUUAACGGACAGAUUUAUGAGUUCUAGCUGUAUAUCUAUGUUCACAGACAACUAUAGACACAUGGGAAGACAGGUUUGAGUGGUUUCUUUCAAAGGGGGUGGCAGGAAAAAGAAAGCCAGAAAUGAGCUGCAUGUCCCAGGCUGUGGUAUUCUUUGCUACCUGUUUCAUUUUUCUUUUCUUUCUUUCUUUUUUCCUUUUUUUUUGUUCAUGGAGCUCCUUAUUUCUUCAUAGAACACUUUUGAGAAAAGCAAAAGUCAAGAAAGUGUGCGAUUGAAAUUUCUACUUUGUUUUUUUACAGGAGGGUAUAAAUUUUAAGAUUUUUUUCUCUUUACCUAAAGGAAUGUCUUUAGAAAUUGAUGCAAAAACACCACUGACACCUAAAAGGAGAUAGUUUAUUCUGGAACCAAAUAUGAGAGACCACGUCCUUGGAACACAGGUUUGGCUUACCCCAAAUUGCAUGUUUUAUGUACAAGUAAGUUCCUGAUGGUUUAGAGUAACAAAAGGAAGCCGUAAAUCAAGACACUUUUCAAAUACACCGGUGGAAACAUCAGAGGGGCAGGUAACUGCCCAGAGAGGCCUCUCACCCCGCUCUAGGCCUCAGAUGCACCACAUAGCAGUCUUAGCUCUUUGGUUCAUGUAGAAUAGGGUUCUGUUACGUUAAUAUGUUCUGAAAAGUUUUUAUCUCCCAAUCAUAAGAUAUUACACCACAGAGAUAGCUUGCUAGGGAGCUAAACAGAGCCCAGAUAAACUGUCACUGGGCUCUGGACCUGCUCCACUCUUCCCUCUCCACAUCACUGGAGCUACCAUCAGCCAACUGGCCUCUGCAGACACAGUCUCUCUGUAGCAACUCUCUCGAGAGUAAGUUACUGUCAUAAAUUCCCAGGCGCGCUUGAGCGGUUGCUGUGUUGGUGAAGCUUGUGUAUGCUUGUGAUGAAAACGUCUACUUAAUCAAUAAAAUAUCCAACAGGAAGGGAGAUUUUGAGGGUGUGACAGCAUUUGUUAAUAUGCCCUGACUCAUUCACUAAAUACGGCAGAUGUGGGAAUAGGCCACACUAGUCUGGAUAUUCUUAAAAUACAAUGGAAAUAUUUUUUUGCUUAUGAAUCUUCAGGUAAAAGUGGUGGGGUGCUAUUUGCAGGAGACACGUCACUCAGCUUCAGUGAUCUUUGCUUUGAUAUCCAUGGUUGAAGGCAUUCAAACAGGAAAACACCUCUUUUUCUCAUCCCUUGGGUAAUUUUAGAGUACCUCUGAACAGCUUUCCUGUUACUUCUGUUAUUUAACAAUGAGGCGUGAUGGGGCUUCUAAGGGUGGUUGAUUGUUGGAGAGUAAGGGCGUUGUUUCUGUGGUGGAGAUUUAAAAAAAAAUGAAAUAAAGAGAAUAGUUUGCACCACAAGUAGGGAGGUUGUCAUAUUAGUUACAAAGAGGGAGCACAGGGGAAAUAUGCCUACGCUGAGGCAAAAGCUACAAUUUCAAAUGUUGUUGGUGUUUAGCAGGAAAAUAUAUGGUAAAGGAAACACUGAAAUCGUGCUGCCUCUGUUCAUUACCUCAUUCGUCUCUAUGGUAAUUCCAACACACAGUGAACAGACAUUCCUCCCAUUGAGCAACAAGGAAGUGGAGCAUGAGGUAGUUAGUUAUAUAACUGACUUGGGGCUGAAGAUGCAGUGAGAAGCUGAACCUGGAGAGCUUUGGGGAACUCCUUCAGUCAUGUGAUUGUUACCUGCCUUUUCCAGAGCUCGUGAGCAUCUCACACUCCCUCGAGACUACUCUCAGAUAGAUGCUCUGCGAGGAGACAUGUAUCCAUCACCUCAGGCUGCUGAAAAGCGGGCUACAGGCUGGGUGACUCGUGACUCAAGCAAUAAUUGACUUCUGACAGAUGCUCUUAGAGAAGCCCAGCUGCCUGGAGAAGUCACAUAUCAACAGAUCUGCCCCGUUACUCUCCAAAAUCUGUUGGUGGGUUUCCCUAUGCUAGGAUGGGCUUUUAUUGAUAUGGCUGUCUCUAAGUCAGCUCCAUGUAAACCCUCACUCGUACUCCUGUAAGUCCUGUAAGUAAUCCCAAUAAACUCACUGA